UCAAAAAUCCCCUUCUCUCUCCUCUUUCUUCUUCCCAGUCGAUACCACUUUUCUUUUCCUCUCUUGCAUUUCAGUCGGCCAGACCAGAUGAGCCAUCUCCGGCCACCACCCAAUGACACGCACCCCACCACGAGCUUCCUUGGCCCCCGAAACCCCCAACCCGUGAAGCUCGCCUCCCCACUCGCCGGCCUCCGUCGCGAUUGGCUCCCCGAAGUUCCGUCGCUGCUGUGAGUUUGGAGGAUUGUUCUGGUCUCCACCGUGGACGAUGAAGGCUCCUGCUGGCGACGACGAUGGGGAAGGCGACGGCGAAGGCUCCUGAGCUGGUGAAGUUCUCAGGCGUGGGUGGUGCUGCCAUUCUCUUCAAGUUGUCCAGACCACUUGUAUUCAACUCUUUGGAUGUGUUUAUUGACAACCAUCCAAUCUGCAAUAUAUACAUUUGUGACAGAGCCUGAUCUACAAGUAUGGAAUCUUCAUUCCUAUUUAGAACUUGGAAGUUGUUUGUAUGCAGGAAUUGGUACUGCGGUAUCUUUUUUUGUUCAAGCAUGGUGCAUACAACUAAGAGGUCCUGUCUUUGUUGCAAUGUUCAGCCCUCUAUGCACUGUUAUAACAGCCAUUAUAGCCUCUUUGUUUCUACAUGAGAAGUUAUAUGCUGGAAGCUUGGUCGGUGCUUUAGCUGUGAUUAUUGGGCUAUAUAUUGUGCUUUGGGGAAAAGCAAAAGACCUUGAAGAGAUUAAAUAGGAGACUAAAGAUAUUCCAAAGCUGGAGGGUGAUCAAACGAAAUCUAUACAGGUUAAUAUUUUGGCUGGUCUUGAAGCAUUGGAUUGGUAGCUAAUUGCAAGAGGGAUGAUUUUAGAAAGAAAUUCAUGGCAGCCAAUCCUUACUUUGGAAAGGCAGUGACGAGGGUGAGUACAAAGACAAGAAGAAGAAAUAUAUGUUGUUUGUCAAUGAAUUUAGUGUUUUAUUAUAUUUGUAAUAUUUAUUAGAGUAAAUGAUUAUUGUUUGAAUGGUUAAUUAUUUACUUUGUAAAUCUAGUUAUAUAUUUUUUAA